rnacentral:rRNA from 1 species
CACGUAGGUGGAUUUGUAAGUCAGAUGUGAAAGCCUUCUGUUCAACGGAAGAAUUGCAUCUGAAACUGCAAACCUUGAGUAUAGGAGGGGAGAGUGGAACUUCUGGUGGAGCGGUGAAAUGCGCAGAUAUCAGAAGGAACGCCGGCGGCGAAAGCGACUCUCUGGCCUAUAACUGACACUGAGGUGCGAAAGCUAAGGGGAGCAAACG